GACGAACGCUGGCGGCGUGCUUAACACAUGCAAGUCGAGCGGUAAGGCCCUUUGGGGGUACACGAGCGGCGAACGGGUGAGUAACACGUGGGUGACCUGCCCUCAGCUCCGGGAUAAGCCUGGGAAACUGGGUCUAAUACCGGAUAUGACUCCAUGACGCAUGUUGUGGGGUGGAAAGCCUUGUGCGGCUGGGGAUGGGCCCGCGGCCUAUCAGCUUGUUGGUGGGGUGAUGGCCACCAAGGCGACGACGGGUAGCCGGCCUGAGAGGGCGACCGGCCACACUGGGACUGAGACACGGCCCAGACUCCUACGGGAGGGCAGCAGUGGGGAAUCUUGCGCAAUGGGCGAAAGCCUGACGCAGCGACGCCGCGUGAGGGAUGACGGCCU
rnacentral:rRNA from 1 species